GUUUUCUUGAAUAGAAACUUCAGAGCCUCUGUGAGCUCCCGGGUGUCAUGAGCGGCUUCCUCUGGUUUCUGUAAAGGUUAAUUGCAAAGUUUAAUUCUGGUCAUGUGGGCCCAGCUGGUGACUCCCUGUAGCUUUACAGCCAUCGGGGGUGGUUUGUAGCACUUGGUAAGGUCCCUUCCAUUUAGGAAGAAGUUGAUCUGCUGGGGAACCUUCCUUCUAGGUGUUUAAUAGGACCCAGUCUCCAGGCAGCAUUUUGCUGUUGUGUUUCACUUGCCAGGCGAGGGCAGCCCUGUGUUGCCAUAUUCCUGGACAGCCAGCCGUACCUGGCCUAGAUUUUGAAUAUAUUUUACAAUACACUGAGUUUCAGGUUUGAUUAACAGGUCUAAGGUGAGGGAGGGUCUCCCAUAAGUCAUUUCAAAAAGACUAAGUUUCCUUUUCGCUUUGGGGACCGUUUGUAUUCUCAUGAACGCGAUAGAUGACAGAGUAUACCAAGACCCAGAAGUUUCCUGGCAUAAUUUUGCCAGGGUUUGCUUUAAAGUGUGACUGGUCCUUUCAAUCUUGCCGGAGGAUUGCGGCCUCCACGAGGAGCGGAGACGAUACUUAAUUCCCAAAGCUCGAGCUCCCUGCUGGGUUCUAGCUGCAAGGAGCGGGGGAGGCCAAAACAUGCCUUGACCACUUCUGUAGCUUUCUCUGUUCUUGGGGGAGAGCUUCCACCCAACCGGUAAAGGUGUCUACAAAACCAAAAGGUAUUUAAAGCCUCGAAAGGAGGGCGUGUGGGUGCGGUCAACCUGCCAGUCCUCAGCAGGAGGGGUUCCUGGGUUCCUCGCUGCUGGACUGGGGUUAGUGAGAGGCCUUUGUCUUUGUUUGCCCCCACGGUUAUUUUGGGAGCAAAGUUCAUAGGCCCGAGUGACUCUAUUGUGGUUGCCAGGCCCUUGCCCAUAAACAGAUGGUCUACCCAGGUGGUCAUGGUGUUAGAGUCCCCUGACUUUCUUUAGCUUAUGCUUGUUUUGAUGUUUUAAUUAUUAUUAGUUUUGAGUCAGAGUCUUGCUCUGUCACCCAGGCUGGAGUGCAAUGGUGCGAUCUUGGGUCGCUGCAACCUCUGCCUCCCCAGUUCAAGUGACUCUCCUGCCUCAGCCUCCCGAGUAGCUGGGAUUACGGGUGCAUGCCAUCACGGCCAGCUAAUUUUUGUAUUUUUAGUAGAGACGGGGUUUCACCAUGUUGGCUAGGCUGGUCUCGAACUCCUGACCUCAGAUGAUCCGCUCGCCUUGGCCUCCUAAAGUGCUGGGAUUACAGCCACCACGCUGAGCUGCUAGUUCUUUUGUAGUUAAGAUGGAUUUACGUCAAGAGAAUGGGCACAGGGGAACAAGGCUAGCUGGGCCACUGCUCCCGGAGUUCCCUCUUAGCUUUCCUGUCAGCCCUUGCAUUUCCCAAUGUCACUGAGGAGUUUCCUCUUUGAUGUCCCAGGCAGUGAAGGGCUGCCACUCGCUCAGGCUCCUGCACAGCCUCUAAAAGCCGCAGUAUUUCUUUUGCAUAUGUAAUGGGGGAUUUCCUUGCAUUUAGAAGACCUGUUCUUUCCAAAUGUUGUGUGUGCACGAGGGACAAGGGAGGCGCCCUUGGAGUCCGCACACCCGUGAAGCGCCUUUCCCCGACCCCGAGCCGGGCCCUGGUCAGGGGACUCACUCUGCUUUUUGCGCCGAGGUAUUAGGUGGCAGUGUGGGCAUCUGUUGUUUGGUGUAGACUAACCACAGCAUGUCCUGCCCCUCUUUUUUUAUUUUCCAUGCAACUACUUCCAUCCGUGAGCCAUUCAGCACCAGGAUUCUAGAGGGUGCACCCCUGAGGUCUAUUCUACUGUGGAAGGCCUGGCCCAUGUUGCAACCCUGGAACGAGUUAGGUUCUCCCAGGAACAGGCUGGCAUGAGAGAAGCUGGAUUAAGGGUACCACAGGUUUUUAUAGUAACCUUGAGGGAGUCCAGGAGGGCGCCUGAUCACGGCAAGUCUUCCUCCCAAGAGCCAACAUGGCCCUUUAUUUCUAAAACUCCCUGCACCUGGUGGGGAGUGAGGACCUCGAAGGUGUGUCUGAAAGUCAGGUUUUGGGGCCGGGCAAGCUGGCUCACUCCUGUAAUCCCAGCACUUUAGGAGGCUGAGACGGGUGGGUCACUUUAGGUCAGGAGUUUGUGACCACCUUGGCCAGCAUGGUGAAACCCCGCGUCUACUAAAAAUACAAAAAUUAGCCAGACGUGAUGGUGCAUGCCUGUAAUUCCAGCUACUCGGGAGGCUGAGGCAGGAGAAUCGCUUUAACCCGGGAGGCAAAGGUUGCAGUGAGUCGAGAUCACACCACUGCACUCCAGCUUGGUGACAGAGCAAGACUCCGUCUCAAAAAAAAAAAAAAAAAAAAAAAGUCAGGUUUUGGGCUUCUUCUACUAGAAUGGCGAUGGCUGCAACUGCCCUAAGGCAGCCAGGCCACCUGCAGGGCGCAGAGUCCAGCUGCUUUGGAAAGGAGCCAACCAGAUGAGACGUUUCUCCCACAACCGGACCAGGCGUUUCUCCCACAACUGGACGAGGUGUUUCUCCCACAACCAGACAGGGUGUUUCUCCCAGUUUCGGGAGGACUCCUAGGGCUACUCUCCAUUUCUCUGCUACAGAAGAUGAGUUUUUGUUUUUUUUGCUUCCAUUGGAUUAGAUUAUUUAUAGAUGUGAGUCUAUAAAUUAGAUCAUUUAUGGGACAUGUGUCAUAAUGGUCCCCUCUCCAUUUGGGACCUCCCAUAAGGGGAGCAGUUUCUCUGGCCCUGGAUGGUGUGAAGUCCCAGUGCGAGCAGCUCCAGCUGGGCAAGUCCCUAUUGUACCUGCAAAGGAGGAGGAGCAUAAGGAGGGGGUGAAAUGGGAUUAGAUUCCACAGGAGACUCUGAUAGUGCGGGGGAUGCUGGGGAGUCGGAAGGAGGUGUGGAGCCCUGAGAACCCCUAUCUGGACUUGGAGUUGGGCCAUGGGGCCUGGAGUCCCUUCCCUUUAAUAAAAGAGGGUCUUCGCAUGGGUCUGGGGGGCUUUCUGGCUUACUGGAUUUUAGCCUGCAGGUGCUGCAUAAAGCCGGGUUCCGUUGUAAGGCCAUAAAUACCUACUCAUGGGUACUUCUGACCAUUGUCCCUGAUUCCUCUGGAAAGACGGAGCUGCG
rnacentral:lncRNA from 10 species